GAAAAGGCAGGCGCACGGGAAAACCACACUGGUUGACUUGGACAUACAAGACAAACUGGCACAGAGAGACAGGAAACACAGGGAUAAAUACACUGGGGAAAACAAGUGACACCUGGACGGGGUGGAGACAAUCACAAGGACAGAAUUUCAUCAUCAAGAAUCAAGUCGACAAUCUACUGGCAAAUCCUAUUCAGUAUUUGUCAUAUGAAGACAAAUAAUGAAGAGAAAUUAUAUCUAAAACGUAUCGGUGUUGGGACUGCUGUUGGGACUCUGCUGUUGGGACAACUUUUGUAGGCCCUAAGUUUGUGGGCACCGUUUGUUACCAUUAUAGUGAAAUGAAUGUAUUGUUUAAUGUUGUGUUGUGCUGUGUAGUGGCUUUGCUGGCAUGCCUCUAAAAAAUGUUUUGGCGUUUCCCACACCAUUUACAUGCUAAAAUUGCCACUGAAAAUGAGUGACAAAACAUUACACAUAAUUUCAAGUUACCAGUCUCAAGUCAAAGUCGAGUCCCGAGUCUUGAGGGUCCAAGUCAAAGUCAAGUCUCAAGUUAUUUUAUUUUAUUCCAAGUCGAGUCUCAAGUCAUCAAAUUUGUGACUUGAGUCAGACUCAAAUUCAAGUCAUGUGACUCGAGUCCACACCUCUGGUCUGUCUUCACUAGUAGUCUACUUCAUAGCUGUGAUGCCUGCGAGAAAGACCCGAGCACGUGAUGGGCAUUGGCUAAAAAUGUAUCAAUAAAAUGUAUUUAUAGAGCCCUUUUUACAACAGCAGUUGUCACAAAGUGCUUAUACAGAAACAGAGCCUAAAACCCUAUAGAGCAAGCAAUGCAGAUGUAGAGGCACGGAGGCUAGGAAAAACUCCAUAGAAAGGCAUGAACCUAGGAAGAAACCUAGAGAAGAACAGGGCUCUGAGGGGUGUCCAGUCCUUUUCUUGCUAUGCCAGUUGGAGACUAUAAGAGCACAUGGCCAUUAAGGCCAGAUCGUUCUUCAAGCUCAAACGUUCAUAGAAGACCAGCAGGAUCAAAUAAUAAUCACAGUGGUUGUAGAGGGUGCAAGAGGUCAGCACUUCUGGAGUUAAUGUCAGAACUGAGAUAUCUAAGAAAGCCAUGUGAGUGAGAGGUGCUUUGGAGCAGGGCAAUUGGUAGCCGGAAGAAGGGAAUUAUAAUUAUUAUUUCAAGCCCAAGGGCACAAUGGCCAAAAGGAAUGGAUUUUUUUAGGCGGUAUUACAGCCACACAAGGGCUGCAAUGGCUAUGGCCGUCGAUGCCGCCGGGAAAUUCGAGGCAUGGUGGGGGCCUUGCCCAGUGUCGAGGGCAGUGACCUCAGAGUGGGCUGCAGAAUGCUGGAAUUACCGUUGCUGGGAUCACCACUACUAGGGUCACCAUAGUUGGUCUAGUCACCGCCGCCGAGGUCACCACCAUUGGGAUCACUGCUGCUGGGAUCACCGCCGCUGCUGUCACCAUCGUUGGUCUGGUCACCGUCGCUGAGGUUACCAUCGCUGGGUCACUGCCUCUGGGAUCCCCGUCGCUGGGGUCACGGGUUGCUGGGCUGGUCACUGUCACUGGAGGGCUCACAAAUGCUGGGUACACCAUUGCCGGGGGCAGCACUGGCACUUCUCUUCUCCCCCUCUCCUCCGGCUUUGCUGUUAGGACUGGGUAUCUGCUGCACCUCCCUCCUCUCUUACUGGUCCAAACUCCUCUCCAUCAGGUCCCAUAUCCUCUCAAUCUUCUCCCCCAGGUAUGCUGGAAGCCAAGCAGGGACGCACUCAACUUCAGAUACCAUUUUGUUGAAAAUAAAAUGAAAAAACAAAAAAUCCAGAAGAGGAAAAAAUUAUAAUCUGAACAAAAAUAGGCCUGGCUGUGCCUCUGCAGUGCAGGCUCUUGUUUUCACAGUUCUAGUUGCCUCUGGGUUGCCAUAGAAACAAGUUCAGGGCUUGCACACAGAUAGAACAUUAUACAAAUAUUUGGUUUGCAGCACACGGAGAAGGAGGUGAGACCUGAAUCCAGCAACUGAAUCUAGCUAACAAGCUAGCUAGCAAUGUCACAAUCAGUGAGAAUGCCCAAAAGCACACAAAAAUGCCUGUAAGUCCACAGAAAAGAUUAGAUGGCUCACAAAAAUAACACAAAUUUCAACAAAAAUAACUUCUGACACCAGUGUUGUGGUUUGAAAUCUUUACUGAUUGUGAGCUAACAUUAGCUAAUGCUCAAUCACCUCAGUACACUAGCUAACUUGGUUAGCACUGUGAAUCUAACUAGCUAAUAAUGUACUAUACAGCUAAUGUGGAGGACGUAGGUGGAAAGACCCUAACAAACCUUAUUCUUUCCCUGAUGUUUAUUGUACACAAACAACAAACGCAUUUAAGGACUGACUAACUUUAGCUCAGAACAAUCUGGGUUUUAUGCUGUGGCCAUACGUCAAGUCAACUGCCCCAAAAUUAAAGUUACACAGAACAUGAAUGUGGUGCUGACUGGUGAUUGGCCAACACUAUUGCCAGUCACCCCACAUGGUAGGCGGGACAUAAAAGAGGUAUAUAUCAAUAAAUUUGCCCAUAAAUGCGUUUCCACCAGAGGAGGCUGGUGGUAUGAGCAAUAGGAGAACAGGCUCAUUGUAAUUGCUGGAAUGGAUUUCAUGGAACGGUAUCAAACACAUCAGACAUAUGGAAACCACACGUUUGACUCUGUUCCAUUUUCUCCAUUUGAGCCAUUACAAUCAGCCUGUCCUCCUAUAGCUCCUACUACCAGCCUCCACUGGUUUCCACCACCAUUUCUCGCAUUAUUAAUUUUACCAACACAAAAGGAUCCCACCAUGUCGAAUGAACAAAUUUGUUGGCAUUUAUAAAAUUGUACCGAAACUUUCUGUUUCAUUAGCUUUCGGGAUUUUAUUUUAUAAGUAUGACUUUACUAGCCCCUAUUACUAGCCUGUUCAACCUCUAUUUUCUAUUGUCUGAGAUCCCCAAAGAUUGGAAAGCUGCCGCGGUCAUCCCCUCUUCCAUCCUGCCCUGCCUUUCUAAAAUCUUCGAAAGCCAAGUUAACAAACAGAUCACCGACUAUUUCGAAUCCCACCAUACCUUCUCCGUUUCCGAGCUGGUCAUGGGUGCACCUCAGCCACGCUCAAGGUCCUAAACGAUAUCAUAACCGCCAUUGAUAAGAGACAAUACUGUGCAGUUGUAUUCAUCGACCUGGCCAAGGCUUUUGACUCUGUCAAUCACCGCAUUGUUAUCGGCAGACUUAAUAGCCUUGGUUUCUCAAAUGACUGCCUCGCCUGGUUCACCAACUACUUCUCAGACAGAGUUCAGUGUGUCAAAUCGUAAAGCCUGUUGUCCGGACCUCUGGCAGUCUCUAUGGGGGUGCCACAGGGUUAAAAUCUCGGGCCGACUCUCUUCUCUGUAUACAUCAAUGAUGUCGCUCUUACUGCUGGUGAUUUUCUGAUCCACCUCUACGCAGACGACACCAUUCUGUAUACUUCUGGCCCUUCUAUGGACACUGUGUUAACUAACCUCCAGACGAGCCUCAAUGCCAUACAACUCUACUUCCGUGGCCUCCAACUGCUCUUAAAUGCAAGUCAAACUAAAUGCAUGCUCUUCAACCGAUC
rnacentral:lncRNA from 1 species